rnacentral:tRNA from 1 species
ACUACUUUGGCAGAUAUAGUGCGGUAAAUUUAGAAUUUAUUUAUGUGAUGUUUAUUACAAGUAGUA